rnacentral:tRNA from 1 species
GCGCCCUUAGCUCAGCCGGAUAGAGCAACGGAUUUCUAAUCCGUGGGUCGCAGGUUCGAGUCCUGCAGGGCGCG